AUGUCUGUGUCGCUCAAUUGGUAGAGCAUGGCGCUAGCAACGCUGGAGGUUGUUGGUUCAAUUCCCACGCGAUAUC
rnacentral:tRNA from 1 species